rnacentral:lncRNA from 1 species
CUUUCUGGCCUGGCCAAAUCAUAUUGUGACCAUGGUGUGAUUUGCCUCCCAACUAAAGGUGUGCAAAGAACAUUGCAUUACUUACAUYCCUAGUUGCUGACCAUUGCAGAUUGCCCUCAACUUAGCUAUAGUAAAAGGGUGGGUCUUCAGAAUCUGUUGCUUGGAGUAAAAACAGUAGACUGUUAAUGACAAUCUCUAGUGUCUUCCUUUGGCUUUUGAAGCACUUCUAGGACUAUUGAACUUGAGGGCUGCUAGGAAUCGGGGACAUUCCACUCAUUCAUGAAGGGGAAGGAAGAGGGCAUUACCACAGGAGACAAACUAGGGUAAAAUAACUGAAAUAGCUUGACAAAAUUGUUACAUACCUUCACAUAAGGGAUAGUAUACCUCUGGCUGCAAUCAAACUUCAUUGUACUCAGACUGGUGAUUUACGGUUUGUGCUCAGACAAGGUGCAAUUCUUCAGUCAACUACUUGCAUAUUCUUUCACCUCUCUACAAGUGUUUAGGCUAGCCUAUUUCUGCCCCUUAUUCUUUCACCUAAUAUUUUGGAGUAAUUUGUAAAUUCCCCCUCAUAACUAAUCAGUCCAUGUAUCUUAAAAUCUUACUUCUAAGUUAGUUUUGAAAUGGUCAGAAUUUUCUGUGUAUUACUAUAGUAACUUCAAUUGUUAUCCUCUAGGUGAAGAUGGAAGCUGAAUGAAACCAGUGUGCUCAUCCAUGGGAGUUCAGGAGCUGAGCAUGAGCACAUCCAGCAUGAUGUCCAGUGAUGUGUGGAGGGACCAAGAUAACAAGUGAACAAAAGAAGAUGGAGUCCAAAUGCAGUGAAGAGGAGCAAGGAACAUAAUAGCCUUUUUUAAAAUAAAAUACUGAGUUUUCUUAUAAAUGACUUCUGU